AUGGCGAGCUCUAGCUUCAUCGUCUUGCCCUCCACGGCGGCCGCCUCUGCAUGCCUUCCUCCGAGAAAGCCCGUGGCCGGGGCCGGCAAACAGGGCCGCAGCCGCCUGUUAUGCAAGUGCGAAGCCACGUCACGUGGUGCCGGCACCGGCGAUGACGACGACCUGGUGCUUCGCCGCCUCGACCGCCGGGACGUGCUCCUCGGCCUCACCGGGGUCGGAGCUACGGGCGCCAUCAACCUCGGAGGCCUCGCGCUGGCCACGGACGACGCCGUCCUGGCCACGUGCGUCACCGUGCCCGUCACGGACAAGGUCAUCAGGUGCGUCUCGGCCGACGGCUUCCAGUGCCCCGGCGUGUACCGCCCCGAGGACGUCGUCGACUUCAGCGCGCUGCCGCCACCGAAUGGCCCCUUGCGCGUGCGUCGGCCGGCCCACCUCGUCGCCGCGGACGCAGAGUACGUGAGGAAGUACGAGGCCGGCGUCCGCAUGAUGAGAGAUCUGGACGCCUCCGGCGACCCGCGCAGCUUCAAGAGCCAGGCCGCCAUCCACGAGGCCUACUGCAACUUCCACUACAAGGUCACCGCGGCGGCCUCGAGAACGCCGGAGAUCGACUUCGACGUGCACUUCUCGUCCAUCUUCGCGCCGUGGCACCGGAUGUACAUCUACUUCUUCGAGCGGAUCAUCGGCGAGCUCAUCGGCGACAGCACCUUCGCGCUGCCGUACUGGAACUGGGACGCGCCGGAUGGGAUGAUGCUGCCGCCGAUAUUCAACAACGCGUCCUCGCCGCUGUACGACGCCAACCGCGACCAGGCGCACGUCACGGCCGUCAUGGACCUCAACAAGGGUCCAGGCGCGGAGAACGAUCUUCCUCUCUGCACGGACGACGCCUGCGUGAAAGAGAACAACCUCUCCGUCAUCUACCGCCAGAUGGCCGUCGACACGGCCCUGCAGUUCCACGGGAACAAGUUCUGCGCCGGCGGCACGCCCGGCUCCCCCGGCUCGCUCGAGAAUGCCGCGCACACCGCCGUGCACAUCUGGGUGGGCGGGGACAUGGGGGUGCUCGGCACGGCCGGCCGCGACCCCGUCUUCUACUCGCACCACGCCAACGUCGACCGCAUGUGGCACCUCUGGACCACCGCGCUCGGCAACGACGACUUUCUCGGCACCGGUACCGGCGGCGACGACUGGCGCGACACCAGCUUCGUCUUCUACGACGAGAAGCGGCGGCCUGUGCGCAUCAGCGUCCGCGACGUCCUCGACGCUGGCAGGCUCGGGUACACGUACGAGGAGAAGGAGACACUCGAGUGGCUGGACAAGCGGCCAAAGCCGGCGACCGGCAUAGACAGAUCGGCGGCACAGCCAGGCGUUCCUGCCGCCCUCUCCUUCCCCGUGGCUCUGAAGAAGGGCCGGAAGGAGUACGUGACGGUGGAGAGGCCGGAGGAGGCCUGGGCCAGCGGCGGCAGCAGCAAGAAGGCGCCGGAGGUGCUGGUGGUGGACGUCACCAUCGACCCCUGCGAGUACGCCAAGUUCGACGUGCUCGUCAACGUGCCCAAGGGCCAGGAGGCGCGAGUGGGGCCGCAGGACACCGAGUUCGCGGGGAGCUUCGAGAACCUGCCGCACGGCGGCGGCGACGGCGGCGGCCGGGGCAUGGGCAGGCUGAAGCUGACGUACCGGUUCGCGCUGCGGGAGCUGGUUGAGGACCUCGGGUGCGGGCAGGACCGGCGGCUGGACGUCACGCUCGUCCCGCGAGCCGGUGAGAUGGUCGUCGUAGACGCCGUCCGCGUUGAGCUUUGUAACUGA
rnacentral:rRNA from 1 species